CAUAGAAAUACACAUUUUUGUUUUAAUCAUUUUACCUUAAUAUGACAUAAUACCAUGUAUUAUUGACAAAGCAAUAUUAACUGAACUCUAAUCAAAAUCAUUUUUUUGUUGUUAGUAAUGGUUUAUCUUUACUUACAGAUAUACAUUAAAUUCCUGUAUAUAGCCUACCUUCUCAACUUCCCACCUACACAAUGGCUGCACUCACAUGUGAAGUGUGUCCGUCCUUUUUUUAUACAUUUAUUUGGAAUUUAUAUAUUUAUUUACAAGAAUUUAUCAUUUUGGUAAUUUUGUUUUUAGUUUAUUAUUGUAUAAUUUAUCCAUGAUUAAAUUGUUUUUAUAAUAAAUGUAUUUAUAU